rnacentral:rRNA from 1 species
GAUGAACGCUGACAGAAUGCUUAACACAUGCAAGUCAACUUGAAUUUGGGUUUUUAACUUAGAUUUGGGUGGCGGACGGGUGAGUAACGCGUAAAGAACUUGCCUCACAGCUAGGGACAACAUUUAGAAAUGAAUGCUAAUACCUGAUAUUAUGAUUUUAAGGCAUCUUAGAAUUAUGAAAGCUAUAUGCGCUGUGAGAGAGCUUUGCGUCCCAUUAGCAAGUUGGAGAGGUAACGGCUCACCAAGGCGAUGAUGGGUAGCCGGCCUGAGAGGGUGAUCGGCCACAAGGGGACUGAGACACGGCCCUUACUCCUACGGGAGGCAGCAGUGGGGAAUAUUGGACAAUGGACCAAGAGUCUGAUCCAGCAAUUCUGUGUGCACGAUGAAGUUUUUCGGAAUGUAAAGUGCUUUCAGUUGGGAAGAAAAAAAUGACGGUACCAACAGAAGAAGUGACGGCUAAAUACGUGCCAGCAGCCGCGGUAAUACGUAUGUCACAAGCGUUAUCCGGAUUUAUUGGGCGUAAAGCGCGUCUAGGUGGUUAUAUAAGUCUGAUGUGAAAAUGCAGGGCUCAACUCUGUAUUGCGUUGGAAACUGUGUAACUAGAGUACUGGAGAGGUAAGCGGAACUACAAGUGUAGAGGUGAAAUUCGUAGAUAUUUGUAGGAAUGCCGAUGGGGAAGCCAGCUUACUGGACAGAUACUGACGCUGAAGCGCGAAAGCGUGGGUAGCAAACAGG